CGAAUGCUGACAUAAGUAACGAUAAAGCGGGUGAAAAGCCCGCUCGCCGGAAGACCAAGGGUUCCUGUCCAACGUUAAUCGGGGCAGGGUGAGUCGACCCCUAAGGCGAGGCCGAAAGGCGUAGUCGAUGGGAAACAGGUUAAUAUUCCUGUACUUGGUGUUACUGCGAAGGGGGGACGGAGAAGGCUAUGUUGGCCGGGCGACGGUUGUC
rnacentral:rRNA from 1 species